CUCUAAAGUAGCUAUACCUAGCGCCAGCCUUUUAAGCUGGAGACGGAUAACAUAUCCCUUAGAGA
rnacentral:tRNA from 1 species